GCGGCCGCGGCCUGCGGGCGCGCCGGGCGUUGGCAACGGGGAGCGAAAGCCCCGGUGCUUACUGACCUGUUAAAGGGAAUGCCCCAGUGUAUCCAUAGAAAAAAGAACUUAUGGCAAUGUCCCAAGAAAGGACGAGUUUUAAGGCAAGGCAGUCUUGUAGUGAGAUUUUCCAAAGUCUACUGUAUAUCUAAUUUGCUUUCUAGAUGUAUAAGUGCCUGAAAUGAAAAAUCUUGUCAAAUAAAA